rnacentral:precursor_RNA from 15 species
UUAAACCUUGUCAAGACUGGGCUCCCCACCACUUAAACGUGGAUGUACUUGCUUUGAGACGGAAAAAGUAAGUGCUUCCAUGUUUUAGUGAUGGUGAGUCUUUGUACUGUCCGCGUGCAUU